CUCUCACUGUAUCAGUUUGACUGCAGCUUACAAGUUGCUGUAUCUUACUCAGGCAGCUUUAUUUUGCUGAGUAAUGUAUCGUUGAAUUCUUUUGAGAACUUCAGAUUUUUUUAUCAUUAGUUUCUUAAAUGAAGGGACUACCUGAUACAUGGACAUUUUGGCAGCUUCUCCUAAGACCGUCUGAGGGUUUGGAGUCUCGGUUCUUGUCUCAGUGAUCAGUUCCAGAUGGCUGAAGAGGCUGAUCGGGCACCGAUAAUUCUAAAAACGGCCUGAAGAUAAACUCAGCAGAGAGACCAGACACUGACUGUGCCGGUUAUCUGGUGGGACAAGAGAAGGUCCCAACUCAGUGUGUGGGAAACCCAGAGGGACAUGGGUAUGUGGUGAUAUAUGAGGAUAAAACCUUCACCAUGACUAAACAACCUCCAGCAGAAGAGGACUUGGAUCUAAUCAUCAUGGAGCUAUGAUGAGAUGGCCGACACUUGUUCCCAAAACAGUGGCUACAUUGAAAGAAAGGCAAAUAAAAAUUUUC